UAGGGAAUCUUCGGCAAUGGGGGCAACCCUGACCGAGCAACGCCGCGUGAGUGAAGAAGGUUUUCGGAUCGUAAAGCUCUGUUGUAAGAGAAGAACGAGUGUGAGAGUGGAAAGUUCACGCUGUGACGGUAACUUACCAGAAAGGGACGGCUAACUACGUGCCAGCAGCCGCGGUAAUACGUAGGUCCCGAGCGUUAUCCGGAUUUAUUGGGCGUAAAGCGAGCGCAGGCGGUUAGAUAAGUCUGAAGUUAAAGGCUGUGGCUUAACCAUAGUACGCUUUGGAAACUGUUUAACUUGAGUGCAGAAGGGGAGAGUGGAAUUCCAUGUGUAGCGGUGAAAUGCGUAGAUAUAUGGAGGAACACCGGUGGCGAAAGCGGCUCUCUGGUCUGUAACUGACGCUGAGGCCCGAAAGCGUGGGGAGCAAACAGGAUUAGAUACCCUGGUAGUCCACGCCGUAAACGAUGAGUGCUAGGUGUUGGGUCCUUUCCGGGACUCAGUGCCGCAGCUAACGCAUUAAGCACUCCGCCUGGGGAGUACGACCGCAAGGUUG
rnacentral:rRNA from 1 species